CACACUGACUUUUACAGCAGUAGUAGUUAUUUAAAGCCAACAGCCUGUUUGGUUUAUGUUUUUUAUUUCAGUUAGGGUGAAGAUUUCAGAUGCGUGGACCCCCGUGGGAUUUUCUGGUUUCUAAGUUGUCUCUUGACAUUGGAAAUCUGAACUGAAUAUUUGCUUUAUCGCCUUUAGGACAACAGAGAACUGUAGCACUUUGUAAAACUCUAAACUGUUUCUGUCUCCUCUGUGGUGUCACCUUCACUGAAGCAAAUCAGCCUUCGCUCUGUCUGACCCCGCACACGACACAUGGACGGAGACUCGGCCUUUGACAGAUGGUUCACAAGGAGAUUUAACAGCUGAUAGUUUAAUUGUGGAGUGUUUGCUGUGGGUGCGAGGAGGUUAAACAGCUGAUUAAUGCGAGGCUAACAGCGAGCGGCUCCUGCGGUGGCUCCUCCGUCUCUCGCCGCUGGGAUAAUGAGCUCAUUCGAUAUGCAGAUUUGAUCCCUGGAGGCCUCGCACAAUUAAUUGUUCUUGUUGACUCGAGUAAUUGUUUGUUUGCAGGUUUAAUUUGGAGAUUUAGAAAGUGUCACGUGACGAGUGCCAGCUGAAUGUGAUGUAAUGAGCGGCAGCUGAUCUGUGACAUCAUGUUAAGCCUCAAAUAACGGUCACCCCGAUUAUCCACCUGUUCCUGCUUUAAAGUGCGCAGUGCUUUUUGUUCCACAGUUAUAGCCUCACCUGAACUUUGGAUAACAUGUCACAAAGCAGGGGCGUGUCUACAAGGGGGGCAGGGGGUGGCACCAGCCAAGCCAUCAGACUCGGGUAAUGAGGGAGAGGAAACAGGUGGGGGCGCAGCUGGAACUAAUGACAGAAGAGGGAGGAACAACUCGAACGAAGGAAACACUUAAUUUGCUUUUGUUUGUUUUUACCUCUGAUGGAUGAUGGCGAGUGGCUGUUUAUGAAUAUAUCAAAAAGUUGUUUUAUAUACCGCUUUUUUUACUUUCCCACUAAUUAACAAAUCAAACAAAAUCCCUGGUUCAGUCUCAUAUUUUCAAAAUAUCUGAAUAUUCACUGGUUUGUUUGGCGUGUCAGUGUUUGUGUGAUCAUGUGUGCUGUGUUUUUGGUCAGGAGUCUGUACAAGGAUAAGCCGUCACAUGAAGGUGGUUAUUAACUCCAUAAGUGACCCCAGGGUUCAUCUAUCUAGGAGUGCUGUCACAUGAAAGAGGCGGGGUUUAUUUAGUUUGACCAAUCAGAAACAUGGACCUGCAGCUGAGAAAGAAACUAUGAUUAAAAUAAAUAAAAGAAUUUAAACACACAUACAGACUGAAAGCAGCAGCGUGUGUGUGUGUGU